UCAGCUCCAGCACCGCUGAAGAGGAACUCAUUUCCAAUCAGCAAGUUAACAAGUAACGUGGUUGCCCCUCAAUAGGGGCAAGGUUCACCCAUGGGCUACCAGUGAGUGCCUGGAUUGGGCAGGAGAAUUAUGGGGGAAGGCGGGGGGCAAGUUCUGCCUCUGCUUGGAACCAUCAGCAUGGACGGGGUCCACUGCCUGCAGUUUGUCCAACAGAGCCCUCUCAUCGGCCGGGAGGCCAGGAACCCCCUUCGUCCAGGUGCUGGAGAAGCUCUCCAUCUAUGCAGCAUUCUCUUGAGAAGAGUCAGCUGGGGCUCCCAUCAUGAAGGGAGCUUCUGAGCCAGCAAGACGGCAAACACCUCUGAUGGUGCCCGGGACAACAGUGUGUUCGGUGACUGGGAAUGCCGACGAAUGACUGAAUGGAUGGCCUUCUUAGACAGCCAGACUUCCCGUUGCUGAGAUCUCCGACACUUUCUGAAAAGCCCUCGAGGCUGUGAGCAGCCCUCUCACACCGAGUUGAACGCAGAGGACUUCAAAGAUCCUGAGGACCUAGAAGAAGGCAGAGCCACAAGAUGCAAGGAGCCUGGGGCCCCCAGCUGGAGCAGAGCCAUUCCCAUCACUGACCACGAUGAACUACCACAUGAUGGAAGUUAUCCCUGACCGAUACGGAGGCAUUUAUGCACUAAGCAUGUUCCAAGGAGGCGCCUUAGAAGGGGGCAUGGUCAUCAUACCUUCCUUUGUCACCCACUGUCUGAAUGCCCAUCCCAUGGCAUUUGUCACCAGGGAUACAGCGGUGAGAUGGGCCUCGUGCUCAUGGAGCUUACAGAGCCUGGCAGGCCAGCCCCUGAAGGGCUACUCGGCUUCCCAGUCUACGUGAUCAUGGAAGGGGCCCCUUAAAAGGAACUAACACCAGACAAUUAAAUGUUGAGGUGUUGAUAGAUAAAGCUGUGUUUCGAUUUGCAUAAACAUGAUGCCAGCAAAUCUAACCCUGGCAGAAAUUCAGUUAUGAGACUUGCGCGCCUAACUUCUGCUAAUUACCAUGGGAAGAUACUGCAGCUUGCAACUCUGCAGAUACCAGCAGAGGAAGAAAAACAUGGGAGACUGCUGAUAACCUAAUGUGGAGAAUUAAACUCCAACUAGACAAAGGCGAGGGUGGAAUCUUAAUGUGGAGUGGCCUGGCUCUGCAGGGAGGUCACUUGGGCUGGCUGGAUUUCAACCCAAUAACACGGCAGAAGUUAUGACCCAGGUUUUGUUGAGGGUGAGCCUUCUAAUCUCAGGAAUUCCAAAGCCAAGCAUGUGUUAAACCCUGCAUCGCAUUGUUUACCGUCUUCCUGCAAGCCUUCCCUGAUGCCUGCAGGCUGGAUAGUAGCGCCUCCUCCGUGAUCCCACCAAGCCCUGGAUGUUCCUCUCUCUACUCACUUAACCCAUCGGAUUAUCCUGAGGUUUAUACAUUCUACUGGACUGUCCACUCUUGGAGCGUAAACAGCACAUUAUAAAACUUUCAGUAUUUAGCAAACCAAAACCACACAGUAGCCAUGGGCACCAAUUCAUUUGUUGAGCUGGGCAAACAAACAGUGAAAGUUGACAGAGAAGAUAGCGAGUGUGAAAAGAAGACCAGAGGGAUCUCUGCUUAUAGCGUAAGGCGCCACUCGAUGGAGUUCAGGCCAUUCUCCAUGGGCAGAGAGAUGUUGCAGCGCCCAAUGGUGGGGGUGAUGGUGCCCGCUAGGACGUGGGGCUCGCUGUGGAAGCUGACGCCCAUCCCGUUGGCGUACAUGACCCGCAGGGUACCGUUGUUGCAGAGCUGGUAGCUGUUCCGCACUUGAUCUGGAGAAAUAGGCUGAUGGUCUACCAUAGGUAGGUCAGCUCCACUGCAAAUCAAGUCUAGGAUUCUUUGAGAAAACAAAGAGAAAAAGCAACCUUCCUGCCCCUCAUGCAUUUGCUGCUGACUCCACUGUGAUGCCAUCUCCACUCCAGAGGAAUCUGAAGAGACUCAACUAGCACGAGGGAGACCGAGCCAGUGGGUGCUGAUAACAUGCGUGUCUUCCCAAAUGGAAUCUACGCUAGUCAGUCAGACUUCUGACCUUUUCCUUUAUCGAAAAGUUCCAGGUAGGAAAUGUGAGUCGGAGACUCCUUUUAUAGAUACGAUGCUUCCUGAUUAUUUGGGCAGAGGAGUCCAGCUGGGCUGGCCUCUGAGGUGCUGGCUUUUGGGGUAGUGCGCACCGGUCACGACCGCAGCCAUCGUGCAGAAGGACAAAAUCUACAUCAUCAAUCAUCUGGCAGAGCAGAAAUAGAGUCAUGGAAACAGGCUCUGUCGUGGGAUAAAUAGUCCAGCAAUGACACCAUUUAUCUACCGAGAGGACACGUUUAUCCUCGGCCAGUGGGCUAGCCCACCGACAUUAUAUCUUCAUUACCUGCACAAUUCCUUUUCUUGCCAGUCUGUGCACUUGUCCUGGACUGUAUGUCAUGUCGAACAGCAAGAGUAACCACGAGGUGGUCAGAAACCUUUGAGGUCUUGGCAAGGGACUGCUAAAGGGCUCUGUGACUGUAACAAACAACCCACUCAUCACACAAACGCUUGGAAGAAAGGGAGAAUCAGAAUGGGACCAAAAAAAAGGUGGGCUCAAGAGACUAAAACCACCUUUGAGAAGGUAACUGUGUGUGUUGGGUUGGUAGGGAGUGCUGGUGAUGGAGAGGUGGGGGCAGAGUACAGAGGGAUGAAGGUUUUCACAUAAAUACGUAGACAUUUCCAAAUAUCCAGCCAUUUGGUUUGGUAUCGAUGACAUUCUCCUGCAUCUGAUUAAGUCCUUUUCUACAAGACUGACCUCUUGUAGAGUUAGUCUGCUAUGGACUAAAACAGCAAGCUGAGGGGUGGGAGGUCUCUGGAAGUCCUCCCAGGCUUGGUAACUCACACCUGCCUCUGGCCUUGGCUGAGUCUCGGGGUGAGGUGUGGUGGUAGGUGAGGGGCUUACCUUGUACCACUGUGUAGGAGGCCUCCACAGAAGACAGGUUGGUAAUGACAGUGACAUCGUCGUCACGGUUGGAGUUCUCAAUGUCAAUGGUGAUGGAUUUCUCCAUUUCCCGGUGUAGGCUGGUCACCACCCCUGUGGGGCGUGUCACAUUGGUUAGGCGGCCCUCGUGGUCAUAGCUGGAGAACAGACACACGGUUAGAAACACAGUUCCUGGGACUGAAGGCUUCCCCAACACUCAGAACCACACAAGGGACAGACUCACUCAUGGUGCCAGAGAAAGAGAGAAACGGGAAGGUGGGGUGGCCAGGUGGUGAAGCACGCUGGGGCUCCUCGUCACAAUCAAUCAUCAAAACUCCAGCCUGCCCUGAGAAACGGUGAUGCUUUUUUCUACUACCCACACUACCCACUGAUUGAUAGAUACACCUGAAAACAUACAUUUCACCUUAGGCAGGGGGUACUUACGUUUUCCCAAGUUAGUUAGUGAGAACAGCAACUUUAUGCUCAGCUUUAUGCUCUUUCUUUAAUUUGUGUUCCACAAAUUAAAGAGGACUGAAUAAUGAACAAAUAAAAUCUGAACAGACCAAUUACUAGUAAGGAGAUUGAAUCAGGAAUCAAAAACCUCCCACCAAGCAAACAAAACAAAAUCCAGGCUCACUCGGCUUCACUGCUGAAUUCUGCUAAACAUUCAAAGAAGAAGAAUUAAUUAAUAAUACCAAUUAUUUUCAAACUCUUCCAAAAAAUAAAGGGGAGGGAACACUCCAAAGUCAUUUUACAAGGCCAGCAUUACCCUGAUACCAAAAUCAGCUAGGGACACUGCAAGAAAAGAAAAUUACAAGCCAAUGUCUCUCUCUCUCUCUAAACAACAUAAAUGCAAGAAUCCUCAACAAACAAAAUAUUAGCAAACCGAAUUCAACAGUACAUUAAAAGGCUCAUACACCAUAAUUAAGUGGGAUUUAUUCUAGGGAAUGCAAGGAUGGUUCACAUCAGCAAAUCAAUCAAUGUGAAAUACCACAUUAACAAAAUGAAGGAACAAACCGUAUUAUCAUCAUCUGAAUAGAUGCAGAAAAAAUUAGACAAAAUUUACAAGAAAAACUCUCAACAACGUGGGUAUAGAGGGAACAUACCUCAGCAUACUAAAAGCCCACAGCUAACAUCAUAUGCAAUGGUAAAAAGCUGACAGUUUUUCCUCUAAGAUCAGGAACAAGACAAAGGAUGCCACUGUAUUCAACAUAGUAUUGGAAGUCUUAUCCAGAGCAAUUAGGCAAGGGAAAAAAGGCAUCCAAAUUAGAAAGGCAGAAGUUAAACUGUCAUUAUUUGUAUAUGACAACAUAGAGAAAACCCUAAAAACUUCACCCAAAAAUCUGUUGGAAUAAAUAAACUCAGUAAAAGCUGCAGGAUACAAAAUCAAUAUAUAAAAUCUGUUGUGUUUCUAUAUACUAAUAA